AUUGAACGCUGGCGGCAGGCCUAACACAUGCAAGUCGAACGGUAACAGGAAGAAGCUUGCUUCUUUGCUGACGAGUGGCGGACGGGUGAGUAAUGUCUGGGAAACUGCCUGAUGGAGGGGGAUAACUACUGGAAACGGUAGCUAAUACCGCAUAACGUCGCAAGACCAAGAGGGGGACCUUCGGGCCUCUUGCCAUCGGAUUUUGCCAGAUGGGAUUAGCUAGUAGGUGGGGUAACGGCUCACCUAGGCGACGAUCCCUAGCUGGUCUGAGAGGAUGACCAGCCACACUGGAACUGAGACACGGUCCAGACUCCUACGGGAGGCAGCAGUGGGGAAUAUUGCACAAUGGGCGCAAGCCUGAUGCAGCCAUGCCGCGUGUAUGAAGAAGGCCUUCGGGUUGUAAAGUACUUUCAGCGGGGAGGAAGGGAGUAAAGUUAAUACCUUUGCUCAUUGACGUUACCCGCAGAAGAAGCACCGGCUAACUCCGUG
rnacentral:rRNA from 1 species